AUUGAACGCUGGCGGCAGGCCUAACACAUGCAAGUCGAGCGGGGCGGCGGACGGGUGAGUAAUGCCUAUGAAUCUGCCUGGUAGUGGGGGAUAACGUCCGGAAACGGGCGCUAAUACCGCAUACUAUCUGACGGGUCUAGGUGGGAUUAGCUAGUUGGUGGGGUAAAGGCCUACCAAGGCGACGAUCGGUAGCUGGUCUGAGAGGAUGAUCAGUCACACUGGGACUGAGACACGGUCCAGACUCCUACGGGAGGCAGCAGUGGGGAAUAUUGGACAAUGGGCGAAAGCCUGAUGCAGCCAUGCCGCGUGUGUGAAGAAGGCCUUCGGAUUGUAAAGUACUUUAAGUUGGGAGGCGUUACCAACAGAAGAAGCACCGGCUAACUUCGUGCCAGCAGCCGCGGUAAUAC
rnacentral:rRNA from 1 species